AUUGAACGCUGGCGGUAUGCCUAACACAUGCAAGUCGAACGGCAGCACAGUAAGAGCUUGCUCUGACGGGUGGCGAGUGGCGUACGGGUGAGGAAUACAUCGGAAUCUACUUUUUCGUGGGGGAUAACGUAGGGAAACUUACGCUAAUACCGCAUACGACCUACGGGUGAAAGCAGGGGAUCUUCGGACCUUGCGCGAUUGAAUGAGCCGAUGUCGGAUUAGCUAGUUGGCGGGGUAAAGGCCCACCAAGGCGACGAUCCGUAGCUGGUCUGAGAGGAUGAUCAGCCACACUGGAACUGAGACACGGUCCAGACUCCUACGGGAGGCAGCAGUGGGGAAUAUUGGACAAUGGGCGCAAGCCUGAUCCAGCCAUACCGCGUGGGUGAAGAAGGCCUUCGGGUUGUAAAGCCCUUUUGUUCGGAAAGAAAAGCAGCAGGUUAAUACCCCGCUGUUCUGACGGUACCCAAAGAAUAAGCACCGGCUAACUUCGUG
rnacentral:rRNA from 1 species